rnacentral:rRNA from 1 species
UAAUACAGAGGGUGCGAGCGUUAAUCGGAAUUACUGGGCGUAAAGGGCGCGUAGGCGGUGCUAUGAGUGGCAUGUGAAAGCCCUGGGCUUAACCUAGGAAGGGCAUGUCAAACGAUAGGACUGGAGUACGGGAGAGGGUGGUGGAAUUUCCGGUGUAGCGGUGAAAUGCGUAGAGAUCGGAAGGAACGUCGAUGGCGAAAGCAGCCACCUGGCCUGAUACUGACGCUGAGGCGCGAGAGCAUGGGGAGCGAACAGGAUUAGAUACCCUGGUAGUCCAUGCUGUAAACGAUGAGGACUAGAUGUUGGUAGGGGAACCUAUUGGUAUCGAAGCUAACGCGAUAAGUCUUCCGCCUGGGAAGUACGGCCGCAAGGUUG